GACGAACGCUGGCGGCGUGCUUAACACAUGCAAGUCGAACGGAGUGGCGAACGGGUGAGUAACACGUGGGUGAUCUGCCUUGCACUUCGUGAUAAGCUUGGGAAUCUGGGUCUAAUCCCAGAUAGUGCAGUAUGAGCUCGCGGCCUAUCGGCUUGUUGGUGGGGUAAUGGCCUACGAAGGGGUCGACGGGUAGGCGGCCGGGGAGGAUGUACGGUAACAUUGGGACUGGGAUACGGCGGAGACUACUAGGGGGGGCAGUUGCGGGGAAUACUGCAGACUGGGCGGGAGACGCAUGCAGCGGCGCGGCGUGGGGGAGGUAGGACUUCUGUUUGUAAACCCAUUUAGGCAGGGACGCGGUACCUGGAUAAGAAGCACCGGCUAACUACGUGCCAGCAGCCGCGGUAAUUC
rnacentral:rRNA from 1 species